rnacentral:rRNA from 1 species
UACAGAGGGGGCAAGCGUUGUUCGGAAUUACUGGGCGUAAAGGGCGCGUAGGCGGCCUGUUAAGUCGAACGUGAAAUCCCCGGGCUCAACCCGGGAACUGCGUCCGAUACUGGCAGGCUCGAAUCCGGGAGAGGGAUGCGGAAUUCCAGGUGUAGCGGUGAAAUGCGCAGAUAUCAGGAGGAACACCAGCGGCGAAGGCGGCGCUCUGGGCCGGAACUGACGCUGAGGAGCGAAAGCGUGGGUAGCAAACAGG